UACGUAGGGGGCAAGCGUUGUCCGGAUUUAUUGGGCGUAAAGAGCGUGUAGGCGGCCAAGCAGGUCCGCUGUGAAAACUCGAGGCUCAACCUCGAGCUGUCGGUUGAAACCACCUGGCUAGAGUCCGGAAGAGGAGAGUGGAAUUCCCGGUGUAGCGGUGAAAUGCGCAGAUAUCGGGAAGAACACCCGUGGCGAAGGCGGCUCUCUGGGACGGUACUGACGCUGAGACGCGAAAGCGUGGGGAGCGAACAGG
rnacentral:rRNA from 1 species